AAUGUACUUAACGUGUUAUACAAUUUAUAUGCAAUUUGUUUCAGCCUACUGCCUCCUAACUGGAAUCGGGACGUGAUAUAUAUUCUUUGGGAUAUGGCCUAGAAUUUCUGACUUGUGAUUAAACAGCACUUCUCUACGGAAAUUGGAUUUUUUUGGCAGAGAAUAACUGGAUUCAAGAAAGCAGCUUGAUCGUGAAAGUUCUGGGCAGUUCAGAUCAUCUUUAUCAGGAGAUGGGGAUGUUGACAGCACAAGACAUUUAAGCGUCAGAUGACAGUUUCUUGAUCCUGAACCCAGGAUGCAUCUACAGCUCUCUCAUGGCUUCUGCAUCACUGUUGAAGCAGAAAAGAUGCAAAAAGGGCUGGACUAGUGAAAUCUUAAUUACCUUGUAUGGUAAGAAAAGAACAGUGCAGGUGUGGAAUGGACAGAUGAUUUGGUCCCCAGAGUGCCUUUCUCCCUCAGGAACCAACAGACCGGAUGAUCUGCGCUGCUAUACUGACCUAUCUCCAACCUCAGUUGACUUUCUAUUGGCCUGGAGGAAACUUGGCUUGCUCUCCUCUCUCUCGUCCUUGCUUGCCCUCAUACAGCUAGAUAGCUGUGGUGGGACUUAA
rnacentral:lncRNA from 1 species